UACGAUGGAGACAAGUGUUAGUCAUCUUUAUUAGGUAUAAAGGGUACCUAGACGGUAAAUAAUAGCCCCGUUUAUAUUGAAAGGGUACUUUUUUACUAGAGUUAUAUGGGAGAGGUAAAUAUUAGAACUAUAGGAGUAGUGAUGAAAUACUUUGAUACUUAUGGGACUGGAAAAGGCGAAAGCAAACCUUUAUCUUUUGUAUAGUUAGUGUUACUAACUAAAUUAAAAUAACUGACGUUGAGGGACGAAGGCUUGGGUAACGAAUAGG
rnacentral:rRNA from 1 species